rnacentral:rRNA from 1 species
GAUGAACGCUGGCGGCGUGCCUAAUACAUGCCAGUCGAGCGAACAGACGAGGAGCUUGCUCCUCUGACGUUAGCGGCGGACGGGUGAGUAACACGUGGAUAACCUACCUAUAAGACUGGGAUAACUUCGGGAAACCGGAGCUAAUACCGGAUAAUAUAUUGAACCGCAUGGUUCAAUAGUGAAAGACGGUUUUGCUGUCACUUAUAGAUGGAUCCGCGCCGCAUUAGCUAGUUGGUAAGGUAACGGCUUACCAAGGCAACGAUGCGUAGCCGACCUGAGAGGUGGGGCGGGCGACAGGGAUAUGAAAUACGCUACAGGGUCCGAAGGGAGGACGGAGCAUGGAAUCGUGAGCAAUGGGCGAAAGCCUGACGUAACAAAGUAGCGUGAGUGAAGAAAGUAUGUGGAGCUUAAAACGCUGGUAUUAGGGAAAAAUAAAAGGGAAACUAACUGUGAACAUCGGCAAGGAACCCAAACAGAAAGACACGCCCAACUACGAC